AUUGAACGCUGGCGGCAGGCCUAACACAUGCAAGUCGAACGGUAACAGGAAGCAGCUUGCUGCUUCGCUGACGAGUGGCGGACGGGUGAGUAAUGUCUGGGAAGCUGCCUGAUGGAGGGGGAUAACUACUGGAAACGGUAGCUAAUACCGCAUAAUGUCGCAAGACCAAAGAGGGGGACCUUCGGGCCUCUUGCCAUCGUGUGUGCGCUGAUGGGGUUUGCUUGUUGGUGGGGGAACGGCUCACCACGGGGCCGAUCUCUAUCUGGUCUGAGAGGAUAACAGGCCACACUGGAACUGAGACACGGUCCAGAUUCCUACGGGAGGCAGCAGUGGGGAAUAUUGCACAAUGGGCGAAGCCUGAUGCAGCCAUGCCGCGUGUAUGAAGAAGGCCUUCGGGUUGUAAAGUACUUUCGGCGGGGAGGAAGGGAGUAAAGUUAAUACCUUUGCUCAUUGACGGUACCCGAAGAAGAAGCACCGGCUAACUCCGUG
rnacentral:rRNA from 1 species